GGUAACAGGAAGCAAGCUUGCUGCUUUGCUGACGAGUGGCGGACGGCGUGUAGUAAUGUCUGGGAAACUGCCUGAUGGAGGGGGAUAACUACUGGAAACGGUAGCUAAUACCGCAUAACGUCGCAAGACCAAAGAGGGGGACCUUCGGGCCUCUUGCCAUCGGAUGUGCCCAGAUGGGAUUAGCUAGUAGGUGGGGUAACGGCUCACCUAGGCGACGAUCCCUAGCUGGUCUGAGAGGAUGACCAGCCACACUGGAACUGAGACACGGUCCAGACUCCUACGGGAGGCAGCAGUGGGGAAUAUUGCACAAUGGGCGCAAGCCUGAUGCAGCCAUGCCGCGUGUAUGAAGAAGGCCUUCGGGUUGUAAAGUACUUUCAGCGGGGAGGAAGGGAGUAAAGUUAAUACCUUUGCUCAUUGACGUUACCCGCAGAAGAAGCACCGGCUAACUCCGUGCCAGCAGCCGCGGUAAUACGGAGGGUGCAAGCGUUAAUCGGAAUUACUGGGCGUAAAAGCGCACGCAGGCGGUUUGUUAAGUCAGAUGUGAAAUCCCCGGGCUCAACCUGGGAACUGCAUCUGAUACUGGCAAGCUUGAGUCUCGUAGAGGGGGGUAGAAUUCCCAGGUGUAGCGGGUGAAAUG
rnacentral:rRNA from 1 species